GGACAUCAGAAGUUUCACUGUGAAAAUAUAUAUAUUUUUCCACAUUUUCAAACUUUAAAACGGGUAAAUUUUGACCCGCACGACAACAAGAGCAUUAAAUGCUGUACUCUUCCUGACAACUCUCAGAUCUCACAGAACGGCGGUCUUUGUGUUUGUGUUUCCCCCCUGCAGUUGCACUAGAAAUCCAAGCAGGCACCGUGCAGCCGCUAAUAGCACAGCGGUCUUAUUCCCAUGAAUAAAUGAGUCAAUUAAGUAAUUAAGACUUGACUUGCAGUCUAUGACCUCUGUGUGUGUGUGUGUGUGUUUGAGUCUCUGUUUGUUGCCACGGCAACAUCGCAUCCAACCUGAGCUCCUCUCCUUGUGUUUCCUUGGCUUUCAAAACAAAAAAACCUCGUCUUAGAUACCCCACCAGGUGGUUUGGACAACUGCUGCUUCUUUCCAGUUGCCAUGGAAAGAGAUGAUCUUUGCCGAGCACCAGACUUCCUGACGGCCCGUGAAGUUUAAAUACGAGAUAAAACAAGGAAGUGAUCGCCGGCAGCCUGACACGUGGGCAUUGAAAGGUACAUGUGAGGCGCCCAGCGGUCACCAGGGCGCUCGGCGGCUUCGCUCCGCGCUCGCCUUUGUCGAGGUAAUCGAGUCGGGCAGUUGUUGAUGUGCUCAUAAUUGCAUGUUUGACGUUAUAUGAGACUGGAAGGGAAUCACCGGCGAUGCCAAAGCGAGUCAGAUAAUGGAAAGGAGUGACGUGAGAUAAAAGAGCAAAGAGGGCAGGAGGAGAAGGGAGAGAGGAGAGGUUGCAGAAGGCUAAUGCAUGUUUAUGUCGAGGGAAUGAGUCUUUCUCCAGAAGACGCCCUGAAAGGUGGACUGUCUUGUAAUUCUUCUGUAUGUUGGUGUCGCUGCCUUUCCAUUUACAGUUAAUUCAUUGGACUAAAACACAGAUAUUUUAGAAAUCUGUCAAAAACUGGUUUCAGACUAAAAAGUGUAGUUAUUUAAUAGGCAAAUAACAAACUGGAACAACUAAAUGGUCCUUAUUCACAUAUACACGAUCGUUCAAAAGUUUGGGGUCACCAAGGCAAUUUCAUUUUUCCAUGAAAACCCACAUUUUUAUUCAUGUGCUAACAUAAUUGCACAAGGGUUUUCUAAUCAUCAAUGAGCCCCAAUAUCCGAAUAUUCGGAUAUUGAGGUCCAGCCCUAGUAUUAACCAAAUAUCAGUUUUGUAUGACCUGCUUGCAUUCUUGCUGCCAUUGUUUUUAUUGACUUUUUUUUCGACCAUAUCUUCCACAGUUUCUAGCUGUUCUCAGAGACUUGCUUUGGAUGAAACUUUGGUACGAUCUACUUUUGAUUUCAAUAAAUCCCAGAUCUGUUCAAUAGGAUUCAAGUCUGGACUUUGACUUGACCGGUCCAUCAGUUCCAGAACUCCAGAUUAAUUUUUCCUCGUCCAGUAGUCUCUGCACAGCUUUGAAGUACGCUUGGAGUCUUUGUCUUCCUGGUAUAUGAACCCACGACCAAUCAGGUUCAAUCUAGAAGGGAUUCCAUGAUGCACCAAGAUGUUGUGGUAGACCUUGUUCAUGAUGCCAUCCAUUUUAACUAAUUUGCCAAUGCCGUUUCCACAAAUGGAACCCCACACCAUUAUGGAAUCUCCAACGUGUUUUACUGUGGGUCAAUGCAUCUAGCAUCGAAAAGUUCUCCAGCUUUUCUGCAGACAUAAACACGACGAUGCUGCCGAAGAGUUCAAACAUGGACUCAUCUGUCUAGAGUACCUUCUUCAGGUCAUCUACAAUCCAGUGUUUGUGGCAAAUUUUAGAUCUUUUUGGAUGUUUGCAUUUUGUAAAAACUAGUCUCUACAAUCGAGUCCAAGGCAAACUGGACCACACUGUGAGAACACUUUGUCUCAAAGACCAUCCAGCAUCAUAAAGAGCUUUAAUUCGCACUAUUGUCUUUCUCAGUGAGUUCCCUAUGCCUCACCAUGUUGAACAGUGGUGAGGAAUUUCAAACUGAAUUCAUACAUUUAUCCCAAAUUUGAGCCAGAAGUCAGAAAUUAAUCAAGAAUAAUAAACAACUACUAAAGCUAAUUUUUCUGUCCAGGAAUGCAAGCAAAUAACUGUAAUUUGACAAAAAAUAAUACUAUGCUUCACUGUUUCUUUCUGCUUUUUUGUAAAACAGUAAAUUGGAAAAUUCAUGGAUAAGAACAGUAAUUAUAUUUUAGCGUUAAAGAUGUCAUUUUGAUUAAAGAGCUUGCAUAUACUGAUGGAUUAACCAUUACAGAGACACAAAAGAAUAUUUUGAGCGCUGUACAUGGAGCUGAAACAGCAACCAUUAAGGUGUCGGCUAAACAUCUGUGUUUCUUUUUGCUUCUGAACAUCCAUCCAUCCAUUAUCUAUACACCACUUAAUCCUCAUUAGGGGGGCUGGAGUCUAUCCCAGCUAACUGAGGGUGAAGGCAGGAGGCACCUGGACAGGUAACAGUCUAUCACAGGGCUACAUAUAGAGACAAACAAGCACAGUUGCUUUCACACCUACUGGCAAUUUAGAAUCACCAAUUAACCUCAGCAUGUUUUUGGACUGUGGGAACCCGGGAAAAACCCGCUCAUACACAGGGAGAACAUGCAGAAAGAUCCCAGGAAGGGGGGACAUGAACCCGGGAUCUUCUAGCUGCAAGGCGACAGUGCUAACCACCAAGCCUUGCAUCUUAACAGUCGAUCCAAUAACAGCAGCAUCUCAGUAUCACAUUUAAAUGCAUGUGGCUGGAGGCACAGUCCAUUCACAUGCUUGCACACAAACCGCAAGGGCGCUACAACACACAACUGCCGUCAGAAACCCUUGAAUCGAGGAUGCAAAUGCACACGAACCUAUCACACUCACACACGAUCUGAAGAAUGAAACGCAGCAUGUUUCAAGUGUUCCCACAAAUGCAUACAUUCGCUCUGCGUGCACAGCAGCUGCCAUCUUUGUCGGAGGGAAAAUAUGUUUUCUAUCAAUUAAAGUCAGACGCACUGUUUUGCAAUAUGAAUAUUUAUGAGUCGUUUCCAGGGCGAUGUUGCAUAACUCGGAGGCUGUUUAUUUUGGUCGCUGUUGGCCUCGCGUCAAGUAUCAUGAUAGAAUUAUAAAAUGGAUGCACAUUGUGUUGUGUGAAGGGUAAUUAGAAUAAAAAGCCCGUCUCUGUCCUGCCGCUGUCUCACUUCUUUAUCUCAUUGCUGUCUUUCACAUUGUGCUUCCUCUUUGUUGUUCUUCUGUCUUUUACCCCCCCCCCCCCCCAACCACCACCACCACCACCACCACACACACUGUGAUAAACUGAGCUGGCAUUAGGUUAUAUGUGCUGUGGUCUGUGCAAUUUGGGAAAAGAUGGAGCUCUAACUGAACCUAAAGAGGAUAAGUGCUUCAUAGAAAAUACAUGGUUGAUGCAUGCUGAUCACACAACACCUCCUGCUAUUUUUACUGCCUCCAAACCUCUCCCUUCUUUACUUCUAGCCCUUCUAACUCAAUUAUGCUCUCAUUAUAAGUGUAUGGAUGCACGCACACAGCCUUUGCAGUUCUAUACACGCUCGCUUUCCCAAUGUUGAUGUUUUGCCACUUUUUUUGUUAGAAACCACCGCUUUGCCGCCCUUCAGACCUCCUCAAAUGAAAUCAUUACCUGUCAGUUUCAUUAUACAUCUUUCAACUGGUGUGUAAUUGCCAGUAAUUUACCAAAUAAUCGGACCAAUUGGAUGCCGCUUUAAGAUAAUUGACGUCAGCCAUGUAUCGUCUCAGCAUCAGCUGAUUAACAGGGGUUAUGUCAGGUCAGUCUGCACCACCUACCACAGGUAACAGGUGAUUUUCCAGAGUGCUGAGACAUGUGCCGGUGCUACGAACGGACUGCAUUUAUUACAAGUAUCACUAAAAACUAAAUGUGACAGACUGAGCAGGCGAGAAAAGAAGCAGAAUGUUGAUUUCGAUGUUUUGGACUCGUGUUCGAACAAGAUUAAACUGCAUAAGAAUGAAAAAUAUCAAAUAAAAAGGACCCACUGUCAGAUGCUUAGCUAAAAGAUCUUCCUACUAGUCUUACUUUCUGUUCCAGUCAUUUUCAAAACUUUAGUUUCAUCCAAAUGGUAGCCUGACUGCAACCUUGUGCAUUUACAGCAGUAAAAGACACCAUACAAGUUAAUGCAGCAGUAAUAAUGAAAAACAUAAUAUAGUAGUACAAUAGUAAAGCAAUCAGAGGGAACAUUACUCAGCAGAAUGAGUAAAACAGUAAAUGUUGUUGCUAAGACUUGCUGACUUUUGCUUCACUAAGAUUUUAAAUGCAGGACUUUGAUUUAACCGCAUGUGUUUUGUUUUCUAUACCACUAUUUUUACACAUUUUUUCUCCAUAUAAGUGUGACGCUUAACGCUCAUAGCUACCAUUAAAUCACAGUUUCCAUUUCAUUCUGCCUGAAUUUUACAGAUAAACCAAUGAAAUCAAAAUGUUCAACUUUCAGCUACACCCAAAAUCUGCAGCCAGGUGUUUCUCAAUACAGAAUCCAUCGCUAACGGCUAAGUUUGCAGACCUGAGAGGGCAAGUUUAGUAUAUAUAAAGUCUGAAAUUAGCAAAGGGUUUUGCAGAACAGGUCCUUGAAUAGGUCAGUUGAAAAUUAGCUAGUGUAGAGGAAGAUGUAGUGUUACUAUAUGAGCUAAGAAUACUUCCAGACUUUUGCUUAAGUAAGAUUUUAAAUGCAGGUUUUUAAUUUAACCACAUUUGUUUUGGUUUCUAUACCACUAUGGUUCUCUAUACUGCAUUUUUUUCAGUAUAGUGUUAUGCUCAAUGCUAACAGCUAGCAUCUAGUCACAGUUUGAGUUUUACUUAGCCUGGAUUCAACAGAUAAACCAAUGAAAUGAAAAUGUUUAGCUUUCGACUACACCCCAAAUCUGCAGCCAGGUGUUCCUCAAGACAGAAUCCAUCGCUAACGGCUAGGUUUGCAGCCCUGAGAGGGCAUGUUUAGUGUAUAUACAGUCUGAAAUUAGCAAGGAAUUUUACAGAACAAGUGCUUGAAUCGAGCAAGCAGCUGAUGUAGAGGAAGAUUUAGUUACCACUAUGGUUCUCUAUACUGCAUUUUUUUCAAUAUAGCGUGAUGCUCAGUGCUAAUAGCUAGCAUCUAGUCACAGUUUGAGUUUUACUUUUCCUGAUUUAACAGAUAAAUCAAUCCAAUCACGGUGGUUGGAAUUAAAUAUUCUGAUGCUAUUCAAGUAGUCGUUGCUAACAGCAAAGCUUGCGCACCUUGGACAGCACAUUUACUAUUUAUUAAAUCUAAAAUUAACAAUUAAUUUUGCAGAAAAGGUAACUGAAUAGAGCAAGCAAUUGUCACAAUUCAAAGUAAAAGAGAUUUAGUGUUAAAAUAUGAGCUAUGAUAAAUGUAAAACCUGUAAUACAUGUUAGUAUGUUAGCAGCAGAAAGUGACCCAUGUUCAACAUUUAAGAUCAGCAAUUCUGUUUUCCAUAUAUUGUUAAUAAAUUGAUUUUUGUCAGAAAAAACCAACAACAACAUGUUAUAGGCAUUAUAUAACUGCAUUUGGCCACGCUGCUCUCUAAUUUUAUUACCAUCGAAUGCUAGCGAGUGUUGGAAAAUGUGCUUUUAUUCAGGUUAUGGGAGUGAUACCAGGAGGACAGAAUAGAUUCAUACUGUCAUCUUUUAUACACAGUGGCUGAUAUGCAUAAAGGCUGAAGGCGGCGGGUUUGUUGAGUCACGCCGGCCGUUCUUUCCAGCGGCCUCGCGGCUCUAGAUGCUUGCUCUCUUUGUGAAGUUGGCUCAGGUUGUAGCACUUACUCUUAUCUAGCAGGUAUACAAUAAAGACAUCUGCUCUAAUGCAGGCUGACUCACACCCUGCUCUGCUUCUACAUCCUUUUCUUUUUUCCUUUUUUUCCCCCCUGGUCAGCAGUAAUUUUAGUGAUAAACUUUGAGCAGGGGUGAAAAAAUACAUAUAUCCUGGUUGUAAACGGGUGGAAAAAAAGGGAUGCAUAAAAAAACGAAUCUUCACUGGCUAAGAGCUGAAUGCUUAAAUAAAUAAAUAACACCUAAUGAGCACAAACAGGUCUGCAAACACCACACUUGGCCACGUAAAUUCCCAAAAUGUGUUUUUCUUUUAGUCUUGCCUCACCACAGUUUACAUUUAGUAGGUAUUUAUUUCGAUGAGCUACAUGUACGUGCAGAAAACAUGACUGAAUACUUAAAAAAUCCACAUUUUUUCCUAGGAUUAUGUUGCAAUGUAACUCCCAUUAACCUUCGCUGCUGUUCUUUCAGACGAGGACAAAGAUUCUCACAGCUUCGUGUGAUCGUUUUUAUCUUGGAAUGGCAGCUAUUGUGGGCUAAACCCUUUCUUUCAUUGUCUGAGCUGUGGAUUUGUACUUAUAGUACAACUACUGUAAGACAUGCUGGCGUACACACAUACUCUCUCAGGGUCGUGUUUCAUUGAUAGAUAGACGCACAAGGACACACACAUAUCUCCAGAGAUGAUGUGAGCGGUUUAACUCUGGGGAGCCUCGCAGCUGAGUCCACACCGAUCCCAGCGGGUCGUCAUUUCCUCUCACAUUUCCUGCCUUUAUCACGCGGAACGUCAUUAAUAAACAUGCGCACGUGUCGGUGCCGAGAAAACACACGGUGGUUUUCCAGAUUCCUCAUUUUCUGUACCCCGAGGCUCACGUCUUACGCAGAUUUCUGGAUGCACGGCAGCGUUUGUGGUUGAUAUUUCACAGUAAAGGUAAUUUUGGAACUGACAGCUAAUGCAGCACAGCAGGGACUGAGUCAAGCGUCCAGGGAAAUGCGUCUUCAGUUUGUCUUUUAGUUUCCCUCUUCCCUUGUCAAUUCCCAUCACCUUCAUGUUUGGUAAUUCGGUGUGUUGUUUCCUGCAGGAUAUCAAACGCACGAAGGAGCAAAAAUGACUCAGGUUGAUGCGUUUGAAGUCCAAAUUAUAAUUUAAAAUGUGGAAUCAGAAUCAGCUUUAACGGCCAAGUACGUACACAACAGACAGGGAAUUUGGCUUCAGCUGUUGGUGUCACCCGAGGAAUAAGGAAAGAGAAUAAUAAAAUAGCAAUAAAACAAGAAGAGAAAAUAAAAAAAUAAUAAAAUAAAAAUAAAAUGAAAAAUAUAAUAAUAGUAAUAAACAAAAUUUAAAAAAAAAACAAGAAAAGCACUCAGAGAGCGCAGUUGUCUGCCAAGGCAGUUUAUUCCCCCAUAUGGCACUGUCAGAAAUGCAGCAUUUAAAAAAAAAAAAAAAUAAAUGCAGCAUUUGUUUAUUAGUUAUUGAUGAUUAGAAAUCACGGCAACAUAGAAUGUUACCAUUUAAUAUAGAUGUACCCAUAAACAAAAUGACCUUGCGCUGAGUACAGGUGUGUGUUAUGUAUGUGUAUGUUAUGUAUGGAUACCGAAUUACGUGACCUAAAUAUGUAGCUGGUGGCAGGAAUUGAUGGGACUCAGAAACACCCCCACAAUUUAAUCAAUUGUUCCUUGGAUCAUUUCUGAUGGAUAAGUCCUGAUAAGUCCUCAGUGGUGGAUUUGUAGCAGGAUCAUAAUCAUGUGAUCAUCAGCAGGCAGCUGAUGUAGUGUUCACUUGUUGUCAUGGUUACAGUGACGCCGUGCCGCUAUCUCGCAGUGAUACAGAAAUCUUUAACAAAUCCGUGGAUCCAGACUAUAAGCUGCAUCAAUGCCAAAAUCUAAUCGCUUGGUCCUUGUAUCAUUUCUGACCUUCCAUGAAAAUUUCAUCCAAUCCAUUGAUAUUGCGAUCACGUUUCUUGACGGAAUAAAUAUAUAUACAGAUAUUUAUACAUCUAGAAAUGAAUAUAAAAUGCAAAAUGACAAUUGCUAGAGUGAGAAUACGGUGCAAAAAGCAGAGAAUAUUGUUCAUAGUGCAAAAAUAAUGUACCUAUACACUGGUAUACAGUCGUCCCUCGCCGUAUCAUGGUUCACUGUGGUCUAACUGUAUCAUGGAUUUUUAAAUUGUAUAUAUUAUUAAAGACUAUUACAUCAAAAUACGCAGCGUACAGCACAUCUGAUUGUGCGUAGUGUUGCUCUGUGGCGUGGGUAAAAAAUUUAAUUUACUUCAAGCCCUAUGAUGUCAAUCAAAUGUUCUGCGCCUUCUAAGGCUUCUGGCAGUAUCAGGAGGGUUUAUAAAGCCUGAUAUAAUAUAUAUAAAUAAUAGAAUGAAUAUAAUGUCGCUACUUUGCGGAUUUUCGUCUGUCGUGGAGGGUUCUGGAACCUGAUCCCUGCGAUAGACGAGGGAUCACUGUGUUCUAUUUUUUUACAGGUGUGGAGGAAUGGCCCGUCCGUUUAUUAGAAUGAUGGCUGUGGGGAAGAAGCUGUUCUUGUGUGAGUGGGGUCUCUGAUGAUGUUCCCUGCCCUCUUCCUGGUUCAUUUCCACAUCCUUCCUCCUACGCUGCACACAUCUCCUCGUUAUUACGAAUACACAGGUUACGACCCAUGAAUGUAACGACACUCAGCUAAGUCUACAUCUAAAUAUAUCUAUUCCCAGCUGAAGCACAAAAGAUGUCAUGUAUUUUACUUCACAAACACGGGAUGAUGUUUGCUAAUAAGACGCCUCCUGCCCCGCAGCGACAUGCCUCUCAUCUGUCUUCAUUCAUCAGUUGUCGGCUGUAAUUUCAUCUGUAAAUCCAACAGCAAAGUGAGAUGCAAUUUUACAGCUUUUCCUACUUAAGCGACCACCGGUUAAUGGUGCGACAUCAUCGUCUCGCUGUUGCCUCUUGCGUCGGCACCCCGCUAUGUUUGUUUUUCAUUACUGACCUGCGUCCUCAUGGGGUAGAGUAGUGUCAACACCCUGGGGCUUCAUCGCCAUGUGGAACCGCAGAUGAUGUUUCUUUGUCAUUCUGGCACCAUCAUUGUGUUCCUCUACAUCUGUCCUAUUUCCUGGAGCUGAUGUAACUGCAGGCUGGUCGGGGUUGGGGGGUUAACGUCUCCCACGAGAGACCGACGAGGCUUUUGUUUUUUUCCCCCGUAAUGAUCUGGAUUAGAGAUGGGUCAGUUAUUCGUCUGGUUUCCUGCUGCUGCUUGUUGCUGAGGCCGCUCAACCUGCUCAACCCGACGAAUCUAAUGGGAAUAAAAUAUCAAUUUAGUAAAUAAAAGCAUAAAAAAGGGCAUAGGUGCAGAAAACAUGCAAAAUAUGUGUUUGUUUUCAUCCCCAGCUACCUCCUAGAGGGUGAAAGUAUGUUUUUUAAUUUUUAAUCGGUGUCAAAAAGAAAUCUCUAAGACACACUUCUUCCCCGAACACAUAGACUCAUGUAUUCAGGACUGUGAAAACCAAAAUAUAGCACCUUCAUCUGCACUUAAACACACAGGACUAAUGUAAAUAUAUGUAUAAAUACAGUCAGCCCACACAUGAACACAACUGUACUUUAGUUUAAGAUCCACCUCAUUAUCUAUGACGUGACUUUUUUACUAAUUGGCACCCGAGCACUGACACUGCAAAGGACCCUACUGGAAAGCAAGAAAUUAUUUUCUGCCCAAAAGAAUCACAUUUUUGAGGCCUACACAUGCUCAAAAACUCAUGGAAAUUUGCACACAGCAGAAGUGGUGAAAAAUUUGAUAUUUUAUGGCAUCCCCUGCAACAUUUGUACCAUCUACUACGGCCAGGACGUUUCACCUACAUCUACGAUAUUUGGUAAGGAUAUACAGCAUGUCAGGGUGAACAAAAAAGACUCUUGGAGCCAUACCCUAAAUCCAACAGGAAGUCAACCAUUUUGCAUAAACUGUAAGAUUUGCUCAUUUUUAGGGGUUAUUUACUCAUAGGGGGUAACUCCAAGAGACCUCAGAUUUGGCCUUAACGAUGAAAAGUUAUCAAAAUUUUCUGCAAUAGUCUAAGGGCAUGGCCAUGGCGACCCCCUAAAUCCUCAUAGGAGGUAACUCCAUGAGACCUCAAAUUUGGCCAGUAUAUACAACAGGACUCAGUGAUUCAAAGUUAACAAAAUCUUCUGCAAAAGUCUGAGGGGUUUGAUGCUUCUCCAUGAAACAGGAAAUGCUGUCUACCUCCCCUGUAUGGAGGACUAAAAGUGCCAAAAUUAAAUAAAUAAAUACAUCAUUAAAUAAUUAAUUAAAUAUGUCAUUAAUUAAUUAAAAUUGGAAUUAAAUAUUUCAUUAAUUAAUUAAAAUUGGAAUUAAAUAUGUCAUUAAUUAAUUAAAAUUGGAAUUAAAUACUUAAAUGUGUUAUUAAAUAAAUAUAUCAUUAAAUAAUUAAAUAUGUCAUUAAUUAGUUAAAAUUGGAAUUAAAUGUCAUUAAUUAAUUAAAAUUGGAAUUAAAUACAUAAAUGUGUUAUUAAAUAUGUCAUUAAUUUAUUAAAAUAACAAUUAUUUUAAGUAAAAAACAUAUUUCAUUAUUUCACUAUUUAAUUAAUUAUUUCAUGGUCCUUGUGUUGCAGUGGAUCAUGAAUUUAUUUUAUCUGUCAACCUCGCCCGUCAAAGUCCGUGGGCGGGACUAACGUGAAUCUAGUCUAAUCCGCUGCUUUUGUCUGCCUUGAAACCGGAAGUCUUUCUAAACAUGGAGGCUGUGUAGAGGGAGAGUCGUUGUGAACUUUCUAGAGAGUUGGUGAGAGAUAUUUUAGACCUUGCAGAGUAUGUGGAAGCAGGACCUGCUGACCCCGAGCAUGUAGCGUGUAAAGCAGAGGAAUUUAUUGAAGUUAUUUCCGCACUUUCCGACCAAGAUGUUGACCGUAGCGUGACUGCAAAUUUAGAGGAAGUACUCCGCCGGUUUUCUGGUACCAGGGUGCAACAGGAGCACACACAGGGACCAGGGCGUUUGGCAUACCGAGGGAAGUUCUGGAACAUCACGUUCUUUGUGGAUUACCAGCCUGUCAAAUUGCAGCGAUGCUCGGAGUGUCGAGCGCUUUUCCUUUAGGACCUACUCGGCGCGGCACGGCUCCGCUUGUCUUUGUUUAGCCGCGAUUCUACAAGCAUCUACUCGGCACGGUACGGCUCGUCUCAUCUUUGUUUGCGAGCGUUUCCAUACGGACUAAUUUUCAGCACCUUCUCGGCUGAGGUUCCCAGCGAGCUGAGAUGAGCCGAUAAUGUGGCGUUUACAUAGUGCAGGCCACUGAUUGGACAGGGAGUGACGACACAGAGCAACUUCAGCACGAAAACAAAAUCCUGCAUUAAAAAAUGACUGUAAACAGCGACGGUGUGCAUUGCUCUUCACGAAACUCUCUGUUCUUCAUAAUUUUAAUGUGACAGCCAGACCUGUACCGUGGGUGAAUGAAGAGGUCGAGACUUUGUCUUUGGUGGCGGACCAAAGAAUACAGAGAGAGCUGGACGGAGAAAGUUUAUCAGGAGGUCUCUGAGCGGAUGGCCGCUCACAUAUACAGUAGACUGUACAUAAAGAGAACAGAAGCAGUGUAGGAAGAAGCUGAAAAAGCUCAAAAGUGACUAUCGGUCCACCCAGGACCACAACGGCCGGCGUGGGUCAACCAGGAGGUGUUGGAAGAGGUUUAAUGGACGCUAUUUACUGGCACCGCACCGGCGAGCAACAGGAGGGAGACUCAGCUGCUGCAUUAUUGGAGACGUUCGAGGACGAAUCCCUUUCCACAUGUGAAGCCUACUCCACCUCCGUCGCGGAGCCCCCAGCUCCCCUGCCUCCUCUCCAGCACCAGCUUCGACACCGACCCUGUCAACAUCAACCUCCAGCACGUCACAGCAACGUCUUAUCACCGGCAAGAGGAAAGGGGGCCACAGAAAAUUGGACCUUCCUAGCGUACUUGUGGAGAUGCAGGCUGAGGAGGAGUGGAGUCAUGCCCAGCAUGAUGAGAACAUCUGGUUGCUCCUCAGCGAGGCAAGAGAGAAUGAAGCGGCCUUGCAGUGGGAGGAGAUGGCCCAGAAUACUGCCUUCAACCAGUCAUUCCUGGGUGUACUGGGGUAGCUGGGGUAGCUGGGUAGGCAGUGGGCAGCCGGCGAGUGUGAGCGAGUCCACCUCCCAUAGACUUGAGAUUUACAAGUGCUGGUCAUAUAAUUAGAAUGUCAUGAAAAAGCUCGUCUUUUGGACAACUGUCAGGUCAGUAGUCUUCCCAUGAUUGUGUAGCCUACAGAACUAGGCUGAGAGACCAUUUAAAGGCCUUUGCAGGUGUUUUGAGUUAAUUAGCUGAUUAGAGGUGUCUUCAAUAUUGAACCUUUCUACAAUAUUCUAAUUUUCAGAGAUACCAAAUUUGAGAUUUUUGUUAGUAUUCAGGUAUAAUCAUCAAAGUUAAGAGAAAUAAACAUUUGAAAUAUAUCAGUCUCUGUGUAAUGAAUGAGUAUAAUAUACAAGUUUCACUUUUUGAAUGGAAUUACUGAAAUAAUGAACAACUUUUUUCAUGAUAUUCUAAUUAUAUGACCAGCACCUGUAGUUGUAUAUAGUUUUACUUUUAGUCCUCCACUGUAGGAGAGGCCCACCACAGUUUGUACUUUGCACAUUGUAAAUAGUUUUGAUUUUGCUGCUGACUAAUAAACUAUUUUGUGACUUAUG